UGCAUAUCAAUAAGCGGAGGAAAAGAAACCAACAGGGAUUGCCUUAGUAGCGGCGAGUGAACCGGCAAAAGCUCAGAUUUGAAAGCCUCUUUUGGCAUUGUAUUCUGAAGCCUUGGUCCUGGGACCUGGUGCUUAAGUCUUCUGGAAAGGAGCGCCAUGGAGGGUGAUAGCCCCGUGAAGCACUAACCCCAUUGUAGGAUCUUGGCAUGGAGUCGAGUGUGUUUGGGAAUGCAGCUCAAAUGGGUGGUAUGCUCCAUCUAAAGCUAAAUAUCUGCGAGAGACCGAUAGCGAACAAGUACUGUGAAGGAAAGAUGAAAAGAACUUUGAAAAGAGAGUGAAAUAGUACGUGAAAUUGUUGAAAUGGAAGGAUAGGCCGCUAACCACGCAGAGUCGUGUUUAGGGGGAGGACAAAAGCUGUAUACUUCAUCAUUCUUCGGAGUGAUGUCGUUGCGGUGCAUACUCCCACCUGGGUCGCGAGGAUCUAAGACUCUGCUAAAUGGUGGUCUAUCACC
rnacentral:rRNA from 1 species